GGCAGGGGCAGCACAUAUAUUAAAUCAGAACAAUACAGAGAAGACCAGCACGCCCCCUGUGCAAGGAUAACACACAAAUUCACGAAGGAGGCAGGAUAAGG
ensembl:snRNA U6 U6 spliceosomal RNA